AUUGAACGCUGGCGGCAGGCUUAACACAUGCAAGUCGAGCGAGCGGCGGACGGGUGAGUAAUGUCUGGGAAACUGCCUGAUGGAGGGGGAUAACUACUGGAAACGGUAGCUAAUACCGCAUACCAUCGGAUGUGCCCAGAUGGGAUUAGCUAGUUGGUGGGGUACCGGCGCACCUAGGCGACGAUCCCUAGCUGGUCUGAGAGGAUGACCAGCCACACUGGAACUGAGACACGGUCCAGACUCCUACGGGAGGCAGCAGUGGGGAAUAUUGCACAAUGGGCGCAAGCCUGAUGCAGCCAUGCCGCGUGUGUGAAGAAGGCCUUCGGGUUGUAAAGCACUUUCAGCGAGGAGGCGUUACCCGCAGAAGAAGCACCGGCUAACUCCGUGCCAGCAGCCGCGGUAAUUC
rnacentral:rRNA from 1 species